rnacentral:lncRNA from 1 species
UGAUAAAAAGACAUAAUAAAUAGUUAGAAUAUUUUGUUGCUAAAGAAAUAAAUAUUUCAUACUAUUAUGUGUCGGCACACAAGAAUUUUUUUGACCGGCACGCAUCGGCACGGCUCGGCACGCACCGUGCCGUACCGUGCCGGCAAGUUUCCAGCACGACCCCGUGCCACGGCACUUAAAUCCUUGACUUGAAGUAUCUAGAAACCAAAUUUUAUAUUUUUCCGAUAGUGUUCUCUUGUCCAUCAAAUGGAUACAAAAAUGAACGACUGAGAAUGAAUAUCCUUUAAAAAGUGAUAAUAGGAAUCUUGUAAUCAAGAUCGAGAGUAUAAAUUUUGUUCUAAAUAGUUUAAAGAAUUUUCUAACCAAAAUUCAAUUGAUUUGAAUAUCUUUACACCGUUAAACAUGAAAACGCUUCAUAUCAACCAUUAAAAUUAUAAAGUUUGGGACCUUUUGAUCAUUAGGUCAAUGAUGUCGAAAAGAUUUAAAAUUUGGUUUUAGAUACUUCAAGUGGUAUAGAUCAAGUUAAACAGUGCCGAUCGUCGAUUUGGAGGCUCCAUCAUCGAAAACAAAUGAGUGGCAACGAAGCCUAUUUGCUACCGAUAGUAUACCAGCCUAGCUCUCUCUCUCUCUCUCUCUCUCUCUCUCUCAUCUAUAUAUAUAUUAUAUAAGAGAGAGAGAGAGAUAAAGAAAGAGAGAGCUAGGCUGGUAUACUAUCGGUAGCACGGAGGCUCCGUGCUCCAAGUUGUUUUCAAUGAUGUAGGCUUCCAAAUCGACGACAGCUUCGUUAGACUUGAACUACACUACUGAAAGUAUUUGGAAAACUAAAUUGUAUAAUUUGUUCGACAUCAUUUGGUUAGUGAUUAAAAGGUCCUCAAAUUUGACAAUUUUAAUGGUCGAUGUAUGCGUUUGUAAAUUUUACGGUGUAAAACAAUCCAAUCUGAUGAAAUUUUUAUAGAAAAAAUUCUUUCACUAAUUAAGAGUAGAUCAGUACCUCUGUCUUAAUUCAAGUCUUUUAUCAUUAUUUCUUUAUAGAGAUUUUUAUUUUCAGCUGUUCAUUUUAGAUACUCGUUUGAUAAGUAAAUGAUGUCGAAAAAUUAUGAAAUUUAGUUUCCAAAUACUUUCAAUAGUAUAGAUCAAGUCCAACGGAGUCGAUCGUCAAUUUGAAAGUUACAUCAUUGAAAAUAACUUGGUAGCUUCGUGUUACUGAUAGUAUACCAACUUAGCUCUAUAUAUAGAGAGAGAGAGAGAGAAAGAGAGUCCAGCUAUUAUACUCUUCUGAGUACGAUCGCCCUCGUACUCAUAAGUCGUUUUCAAUGAUAGAGCUUCUGAAUCGACGAUCUAUCCCGUUAAAUAUUAUCUUAGAGGAUUUAAAACUUCUAGAAAUCAAAUUUCAUAAUUUUUCGACAUCAUUUACAUACAAUCAAAAGGUCACAAAAUUGACAAGUUUUAACGGCCGGUAUAGGAUACUUGCUAGUUAGUAGUGUAAAAGAAUUGGAACAGGUUGAAUUUUUGAUAAAAAAUUCUAUUCACCAUCUAGAUAAAGAUCAAUAACUCCGAUCUUAAAUUGAAGGAUCCGAUCAUCCAUUUUUAGGACGUCAUUCGAUUUUGAUCGUUCAUGUUAUGCCCGCUUGAUAGACUUUAUUAGUGAUUUUGAAAAGUACAAAUUAUUAUUAGAAGUUUAAAUACUGUAGCAUCAUAUUUAUAUAAGGAUCGCAUUUGGAAAGCUCCCAUCAUCGACAAACAAAUAUGAGGUAAAAAACGCUAAGGGGGGCUUCCUAUACUCAUAAGAGUAUAGAGCCCCCAUAUAUAUAAUAUAUAUAUAUAUAUAUAUAUAUAUAUAUAAUAUAUCAAUAGAAUAAUAUGAUAAUGAGGCUAGAAUACUUAUAUUUAGAAGCAUUCGAGCCCUACUAGAUAGUAAUAUAUAAUAUAUAUAUAUAAUAAUAUAAAUAUAUAGAGAGAUGAGAGAGAGAGAACUAGGCUGGUAUAUCUACGGUAGGCACGGAGGCGCCUCCGUGCUAGCCUAAGUUGUUUCCAUGAUGCGGCUUCCAAAUCGACGAUACGGCUCCAAUAGACUGGAUCUACACUAUUGAAAAAUAUUUGGAAACUAAAUUUCAUAAUUCGACAUCCUUUGGCUAGUGAUCAAAGUCUGCAAAAUUGAUCAAAUUAUUAAUGUGUAAUGUAGGCAUUUGUAGAAUUAACAGGUGUAAAUUAACAUUAUCCAAAGCAGAUAAUAUUUUUUAUAGAAAAGUCUUUUUACUAGUUCAGAGUAAAGAUAGUACCGUCUUAUCUUAAAUUUCAAGUCUUCUAUCAUCCUUUUAUGAAGAUUAUUUUCACUGUGUCAUAUUUUAGACUACUUGUUUGAAAGUAAAUCGAUACCGAAAAAUAUGAAUUUAUUUCAAAUGCUAAUAUGUAGAUCAAGUCUAACUAGCCUGAUUGUCGUAUUUGAAUCCGCAUCAUUGAAACGAACUUGGUAGCACGGACGCCUCGCCAUGGCACUGAUAGUAUACCAGGCCUAGCGCUCUCUUCUCCAUCUCUAUCCCGUCUCUCUCUCUCUCUCGCUCUAAAUAUAUAUAUAUAUAGUUCAGCCACUAUAGACUUUUUAGCGAAAUUUUUGGGCUUAGUAGCCUGUAUACCUUUUUAAUUUUAAAAAUAGGCAUCCAAAGUUUUUAUUCAUAAAAUUAGGCUUAAGUCGUGUACUCCAAAGGAUCUAUAAUCUAUAAUCUAUAAUAAUGUAUGAAUCCUCAAUAAUGUAUACACGUGGCAGCACCCACUUGAAUGGUGGAUAUGGGGUCCACCUCCCGCCUUCUAAGUUGACUAAAUAUGAGAAAAAGGACUCGACUUUUCGGUUUCCUGUUCUUUCGCCACUAUUUCGUCUUCCCUCCACAAUUAUAUUUUUUUGAUUUUCUCUUCUUUCCUCAUUGUUCGUCCUUCCUCCCCAAUUAAUAUUUUUCAUCCACUUCAUGUUCCCUUUCCAAUUAAUAUUUUUUUGGUUUCCUCUUCUUUCCUCGCUAUUACAUCUUCUCUCCCUAAUUAAUACUUCUUAUCCGCUACCGUGCCCCAACCGUCUUCUCUAUUCUAUUGUUCCAUCCUCUCUCCACUCGGAGGCUUUUGACCGCCACCUUCACCAUACCUUACGCGCCACAAGGACGGUGAUAGAACCAAUACUGUCGCCAAUCACUCCAUCCCCCCAUCUCUCUCUUCCCUCCUCCCCUUCCCCUUCCCGAAGGUUUUGAUCACUCUUCAUGGCCGAAGUCGGAGCCCCACAACAACACCACCCCCUCCACCGCUGCUCAUGUUUCUCGAGGCGACCGUCGUCGUCGAGAUCACUUAGAAAAUGGUAAACCAACACAUCACCAAGAUCAACGACAUCUCUAUCCUCGGCCAACGCUAUGUCGUUGAAACCCUAGGCUUCACCUCCGUCACCUUCGACACCACGCUCUUAGAGGCCUCAUGGACACCACGACGAGAUAGAGCUCUUAGAUUCAUCCUACUUUCACCAAAUAUUGCUAUUCCUCUACAUCUCCUCUCUUCUUUUUUUUUUUGGGUUGGUAAAUAGUAAAUUUCUUUGUGCACAUUUUAUAUUCUAGACUAGAUAUUUUUCAUUCUUUUUCCUUUAAAUUUCUAUCGGCCACAUUAGGCGGAUCCCUAUACUAGUGCAUAGCAUUAAACAGAAAUAAUUUUAAUGCUUUGAAGAAUUGCAAGCAUUUUGAUCUCCCUCUUGAAAAAACAGUUAGUGAAAAGGUUUCAGUAUUUAAUUAGUGGAGAUAAAAGAAAACAGACAAGUAGCAAUUUCAUCCUUGCAUAGAAGAGCAGCUUUGUUGAGAUAAUGACGAAGAUUGCCAAAUCCGCUAGCCAAGGUCAACCCAAGGUUUAAAGUGCCGCCCUAUGCCCUGCGGCACGGGGCGGCAUGUACCAUGCCUCCAAAAAAAGGGCAUGGUACCAGGGCGGUCUCGAACCCCACGCGUGCCGCGGCACCUACCUGCGUAUCGCGCCAGACAGAGCGAUACUCAAGUAGGUGCCGCAGCACUGUGCCGUGUCGGCACAGUCUCGCGCGAUACGUGGGUGGGUGCCAUGGCACUAUGCCGUGUCGGCACUUUUUUUUUGCUUUUUUGCUUUUUGCGUCUUUUUUUCUUUGUUUCUUUAGGGGUACCCAAAGCAUCCUAGGUACUCCACAUCCCCCAAACACAUUACAAAUCGAAAAUCUACUUGUUAGAGAAGUCAAAAAAAAAUUUCUUUUUUUUUGUUUAUCAAUAUACGGGCUAAUUCUUAAUUUACAUAUUCGAUCCAUACCGCGGGGGCGAAGCCCACCACACCACCACAGACAUCCAUUUUCUUCUUCUUUCUUCACAAAUUAUUUUAUCAAAAUUUGUCGCACUGCAAAGCUUUCGGCAAAUUAGAGGAACAAAAUCGAACUCAAUAAACAAAUUUUGAGGCACAUAAAAUAUAAUUAAUUUUUGCAUUAGAAGAUUGAAAAUAGUGAUAAAAUUAAAACUAAAUUAAAUCAAUUGAUACUUAAAUUUAUUUGUCAUAAUUUAUUGCUUAAUUUUUUUGAUAGAUCUAAUAAUUUUUUCAAAUACUUUUUAAAAUAAUUUUUUCAAAUAAUUUUUAAAAUUAUUUUAAAAAUUAUUUUUUUUUGUAUUUUACAAAAGAAAUACUGUAAUAUGGUCAAAAGAAAAAAAGAAAGAUAACUUUGCAUUUUUAAAAUUUUAACAUGUAAAAAUUUCUAUUCUGCAUCAAGUAUAAUUGUACUUUACAUACAAAAAACUUACAAGCAUAUAUAUAUUGAUGAGUAUAGUAAGCUAUAUAUAGCAAAUAUUCAUAAUUAUUUGAUUAAAUCUUUCAACAUGACAUUAUAAGAGUUUAUUGGAACCAAAAUAACAAAAAUAAUUCCGUGCCGAAGCGUCCCAGUAGCAAGUCAUGCGUAUCCAUCGACAGUUAAGCGUACCACGUGUUGGCACGGAAGCGUGCCGGUGUCGUACCGUGCAAGGCAGACAGCGGCACGCCCCCGUGCCGUGGCACUUUAAACCUUGGGUCAGCCAAAGAGAGCAGCAUCAAUGCAAGUACUAUUCUUGAUGCCAUCAGAGCACCUAAAAGAAAAAAUAGCUUUAGAUAAAAAAGCAAUAAUAACAACACGAAACGAAGUAAGGUGGCAAGUAAUUUUUUAAAAAAUUUUAAUUUACACUUUAGCAUCAGCCCCGCCACACCAUACUGCCCAUGCCAUACUAUGCAAGGACAUGCCGGGCAUGUGGCACAGCGGCAUGCUAAGCCGUAUUGAGAAAACAUGUCUUUUUGGCAUUUUUUUGGUUUGUUUGUGCUUUUUUGAUAUAAAAAAGUGAUACAAUGGUUUUUUUUAACUUAAAAGUUGUAGAUCUUAUAAAUCUAUGAACAUUUCGGAGCAAUUAGAGCCCAUUUGGUUGCAAGCUUUUGCAACUGAACUGUAGUAGCAAAGGCAUGCAACCUCAAUUCAUGUGUUUGGUUUAGUGCAGUUAAGUCCGACUGCUGUAGUUGCAGCUGCUAUAACAUACCGAAUCUCCGGGUUACGAGGCUAACUUUGAUCGAAUUGGUCAAAGUGAGGCACGAGUAUGAUUUGUGGCAUCCCCGAGUCAUUUCGGAGCCGUAGGGAUGGAUAGAGGUGUGUUUCGGGGUUGUUUUGGUGUUUUCGGCGCAAACCAGGCGCGAAAACGAAAAUUCGAAACGCUAUGGUUGCUAGACUACUCAAGGAACACUACGUACCGGUACCAAGUCAAUGCGGUACCGGUACCCCAUGGUAGUAGGGUUGAGCAACUCUCGGGAUCCAAACAUGAGAGGCUGGUACCGAUACUAGAGUGGAAUACCGGUACUAUGCCGCGUACCAGAGGUUACGCAGCUUUGGAUGUGGGAGCUAGUACCAGUACUAGAUGGCAGGUACCGGUACCUAGUUUGUUAGGGACUGAAAUGUAAGGAGUGAAGGGAGAAUUGUGGAGGGGUUUUAAGUGUAAUUGUUGUGGGUCUAUAUAAUUCCAACCGCAACACCUGUACACUCCUCAUGCAAAGAGAAACAUUGUUCUCUUCUCGUUCUCCUUUCUUCCUUCUUCUCUCUCUAGAAGUCUAAGCAAGAGAACUGUGGAGGAGAAUUAAAGAAGGAAAUUAGAUGGAAAAUUGGUGGUUUUGGUGUGGAUGAAGCUCUAGCACAAGGAGAGCUUGGGUAGCAUUGGGUCAAGGUGAGUUCUCUUGCUCCUCUUUGUUAGGGUUUGAUGUAAAUCCCUUAAAUUGCUUAGUUUUGAGGUUCUUAGGUUAUGGAGAUUUGGAUUACUCCAUAACUUCCUAAGAAAUUUGUGUAUGAUGAAGUUAUAUAAAACCUAAGCAUAGAAAUGGGAUUUUGUAGGAUUGGAGAUCUAGCUUGGAAUUGAUCUCAUGUAAUCCUAAUUGAAGAUAAAUCCGACGCGUUGAGAGGCUCAGAUCGACGUUCCGACGAGUCUACAACGAGUUAUUGAGGAAAAACCUCAUUUCAACUUCGUUUGUCGUGGGUUGAGACAGAUAGACUUCCAAAAAUCGCAGGACUUGGGUUCUCGCAUCUCGACAUCUCUACGAGGUGGGUGGUGCUAUCUGAAGUUUUUGAAUGACCCGUUAUGUCUAGUCGCUUAUUGAGCAUAUAUAUAUGUAUAAUGAAUUCAUGCAUUAUAGGGUAAAUGUGAUAUGUGGAUCAAUUGUGCAUUCUUGUAUGCUUUGAGAAUAAAGUAUAUGUGGACAAUAGAUGGUGAACAUAGAAACCCUAUUGAUGUAUGAACAAGCAUUGACUAUGACAAUAGUUACAAAGUGACAUUGUGACUAGACAGCAUGAGUAGCACCCAGUACUGUGAAUGCUAGACAAGGAAAAUGAACUUGUGGCAUUUGUGGCACUAUAAUGAGAUGAUUGGUUAGCACCUAGAAUUGAAAAUGCUAAACAUAGAGUAAAGAGCUUGUCAAAGUUGUGGCCUUGUAUCCUCCAAGUGAGGAUUGGAUCGUACUCACAGGUAGUCUGAAUGCUCGAGGUAGGUCGCUUCACCUUGGGUGGUGAGCUCCGAAGUGUGUUAUCAACUGGGUUGGUAGUGGAAUUCUCCCCAGCAGACGCUCCCGUCGUAUGGUAGCGGAAUUCUCCCAGACAAAAAGGGGUUUGGUUUGGUGAGUUGGGAUUAACCAAAUGGUUAACCAAGUUGAUUGGGUAAUGGUAAAAUUAAGAUGCAUGCAUCAUGAGCAUUUAUUACUGUUUCAGUUAGUACAGGCAUUGUAGUAGCAUUAGUUUGGUUUGUUAUCCAUUUCCUUUUCCUACAUAUGCCUGAGUAGACCUAGUGGGUGAGUCGGCGAAGUCGGCGGCCGAACCCACUAGAAACUUUUAGUAAUUCUCACCCCACUAACCAUGCAAGUCCUAGCGCAAGCGGGGCGGUCGAGGAUCGCGGCAUGGACAUCGCGCACUAGAUAGCGGACUUCCAUUGAGUAUAGAUAUACCUUGUAUACCUCAUCUAUUGUAGUUGAUGAAACAGAUAUGUCACAAUGCAAAUGAGAGAUGAUUAUUCUAUGUAUUGGAAGAAUAUAUGUCAAUGAGAAUUUGCAAACCUUGUAUUUGAUUCAAAUUGAUCAAGAUACAAUGUAUUAAUGUAAUAGC